AUUGAACGCUGGCGGCAUGCCUUACACAUGCAAGUCGAACGGCAGCGGGGACUUCGGUCCGCCGGCGAGUGGCGAACGGGUGAGUAAUGUAUCGGAACGUACCUUUCAGUGGGGGAUAACGUAGCGAAAGUUACGCUAAUACCGCAUAUUCUCUGAGGAGGAAAGCAGGGGACCUUCGGGCCUUGCGCUGAUGGAGCGGCCGAUAUCAGAUUAGCUAGUUGGUGGGGUAAAGGCUCACCAAGGCUACGAUCUGUAGCGGGUCUGAGAGGAUGAUCCGCCACACUGGGACUGAGACACGGCCCAGACUCCUACGGGAGGCAGCAGUGGGGAAUUUUGGACAAUGGGUGAAAGCCUGAUCCAGCCAUGCCGCGUGAGUGAAGAAGGCCUUCGGGUUGUAAAGCUCUUUCGGACGGGAAGAAAUCAUGAGGGCUAAUACCCCUUGUGGAUGACGGUACCGUAAUAAGAAGCACCGGCUAACUACGUGCCAGCCGCCGCUGUAA
rnacentral:rRNA from 1 species